UACGGGAGGCAGCAGUGGGGAAUAUUGCACAAUGGGCGCAAGCCUGAUGCAGCCAUGCCGCGUGUAUGAAGAAGGCCUUCGGGUUGUAAAGUACUUUCAGUCGUGAGGAAGGUGUUAAGGUUAAUAACCUUAGCAAUUGACGUUAGCGACAGAAGAAGCACCGGCUAACUCCGUGCCAGCAGCCGCGGUAAUACGGAGGGUGCGAGCGUUAAUCGGAAUUACUGGGCGUAAAGGGCACGCAGGCGGUUAAUUAAGUUGGAUGUGAAAUCCCCGGGCUUAACCUGGGAAUGGCAUUCAAGACUGGUUAGCUAGAGUCUUGUAGAGGGGGUAGAAUUCCAUGUGUAGCGGUGAAAUGCGUAGAGAUGUGGAGGAAUACCGGGUGGGCGAAGGCGGGCCCCCUGGGACCAAAAGGACUGACGGCUCAUGUGCGAAAAGCGUGGGGAGCGAAAACAGGGAUUAGAUACC
rnacentral:rRNA from 1 species